rnacentral:rRNA from 1 species
GAUGAACGCUAGCGGCAGGCUUAAUACAUGCAAGUCGAGGGGCAGCACGUCCCGCAGCAAUGCGGGAUGGUGGCGACCGGCAAACGGGUGCGGAACACGUACGCAACCUUCCUUUAAGUGGAGAAUAGCCCGGGGAAACCCGGAUUAAUACUCCGUAACAUUAUAAAGUGGCAUCACUUUAUAAUUAUAGAUUCAUCGCUUAAAGAUGGGCGUGCGCCUGAUUAGGUAGUUGGCGGAGUAAUAAGCCCACCAAGCCUGCGAUCAGUAACUGGUGUGAGAGCACGACCAGUCACACGGGCACUGAGACACGGGCCCGACUCCUACGGGAGGCAGCAGUAAGGAUAUUGUCAAUGGACGCAAGUCUGAACCAGCCAUGCCGCGUGGAGGAUGAAGGUCCUCUGGAUUG